CUUACAUGAAACUCAUUUAUUGCAGAACCUGUGGAUUUGCAGGGAGAAUCAUCAGAUACUCCCUCAGUCCUCCAGGUUGUUGAGCCAAUCCUGCCGCUGCUGCCCACAGAAACUCACUCCACAUCUUCAGCUGUUGUUCUGCCCCUCAGUGCUGGUGAGCUGAACAGCACCUGCUGUAAUGUUGACUACAACACUGCAGACUCCUCCAUCUCCCAGUCUGGGCAAGUGGACCUUAGGAGAGACAUCCUCAGGUUUAUAAGGAGUCCAGAGAGUCGUCUCUGCUGGCAUGAAACUGCACACUGCUGGACGCUCGAGGUAAUCACAGUAUUUCUUACUCUCAUGAAGAGGUUCCACUUUAACGAUUAUUAAAAGAGAACUUAAAUGAAAUGCGGUUGUAGAUCUUGAGUUUCAUCUAAUUGUCGUUUGCAGGGAUUCCCUUACCAUAACAACUGUGAGGACGGUUUCCCUGGCA